UAGCAGUGAACUUACAUUUGUGUAACAAUAAAACAAUGAAAGCAGCCACUGCAGAGCCAGCUGUGGCUUCAUUUUGACAUAGUGUUGUGCUAGAAGGACAGGGCGGGCUUACAUUCACAGGCAGUGAAGGACUCAAAGGCACCACUUACUUGCAUAACUUCCUUUCUAGCUGUCGUGUUACUUGAAAAUCAGCUAAGGAAGUUUUUCACUGUCUAGAACAGGCAGGAUUCCUACUACUGUGUGGUAAGUGGUUCUUCCUACACUCUCAGAAGGCUUCAGUCCUGCAAUCAGGUAAAGCCACUGUGGUGUAGAAAAUGUCCUAUGUGCCUGUCUCUACCUCUGCACACACCAGCUCUUGCAACCACCUAUCAAUUCUAUUCAUCAUUUACACAGAUGAUUAGAAGUAGUAAAUGGGUAGCUAACUCAACAGCGUGCAGAAUGUGACGUAACUUCUUAUUCUUCUGCUAUGGAAACCCACAGUAAUUUUUUAUAGCAAAGACUGAGUAUUCCACUUAGCAAAUGCCCCACUGACUUGGGUUUCAAAAACCACUUAUGCUACCUGAUCUUACUACACUUGAGUGUCACCUUCAUAAAGAGUGUCUCCCUUCUAACUUUACAUUCUCAUUAGACCAACUGGCUAUAAAGAGUAAUCCAGGCAGCUAAUAUAUAGCAAUUCUUAGUAUCCAGCUACUUCUGCUUGGCUUUUUUGUUGUCUCUGUUCAUGCUGGAGAUCGAAUCCAGGGCCUCAUGCAUACUGGGUAAGUGUUUUAACGCUGGGCUACAACUCUUGCCCUGCUUAGUGUUCAGAUUCAGUCCCUCAGAGUCUGUUAUCUCUCAGAAACCCUUACUUGGAAGAUGUUCUCAAUGAGGUUUCUGUUGCUGCUGUCAAAAUAAAUGUUCUGUAUCAAAAAUUCUGAUAAAAUCAUUAAGAACUGGAGAAUGGAAAGGAAAACAGGCAUGUAGACUAUCUUCAAUCUUGAUAGAUUCAGAUUUAUAAUAGAUUUUUAGAGUUUUCCCCUUUAAUAUUUUCAGUGACCCCCCCUCCUACCUUUUGACAUACAAAUGUUGAACUUGUAUCAAAGGGCUCCCAGUGUCAGACUCCUAGCCUACAGCAUAUGCAUUAAGGGGGGAUACAGUGUAAUAUUCCAAGUGUUUAGUUUGCGAUUUCAGUAAGGUGUGAGAGGUAGCCAGAUUUUUACAGUUCCAGAACUUAGAAUUGAAACAGUGUAUGAAAGUGACACUGAUGGGUUUGUCCACGCUGUGCCGAUACAGUGCUUGUUGUAGAGUGUAACUGCAGAGUCGUGUGUUUGCAACAACACACAUGCCACACUGAGGUGGUUUCCUUCACUUCUUCCACUUGGUCAAGGGUACAGAGUGAGAGGAUAAAAAGUUGCAUUAAGAAUAAAUUCAUGUUUACUGGUAACUCAUUUUUUAAAAAGUGAUCUGCCAAAGAACCCAGAACUUCAGAUACUAGUGAAAAAUUGUUGUGGGGAAAAGAUUUAAAAAAGAUGUUAUUACUUUUCACUUUCUAGUUGAUAGGACUUAUCCCACAUAAUAAACAUUGAAGCCAAGUGCAUAUAUUAAGAAAAAUGUGGACACUUACUUGCUUGUUUAAAUAGGGAGUUAUAAUUAUGGAGAAUGUGUCAGUAAUUGUAAUGUGGGAUGAGUGGAGUUCCCUUUGUGACAAGAAUACCGUUUAGCCUCGUUGGUAGGCAUGAGGUGUUAGCCCUCACUAGUUCUUCUACCAGAAGACAGAAAACACCGAACAGAUCUGUAACUCUCAGAAAAUGCUGUGACUUCACUGCCAGCUGUCACAGUGGAGCGGGUCUUUAGUUCAGGGUGGUAUCUGAGCUUUAGAACAGAUGCUCAACGAUAUUUCUUACGAGGAAAUGUGUGCAUACACACAUUCUGGGUAACCACAAGGAUGCUGAAUUCAUCAUGAACUGAGUUACUAAAUGUAUAAGGCAAAUGAUUGUGACAAAAUUAUGAAUAUGAUUCAACGAUAGGUUUAAAGAAAAAAACAGUUUUUCUUGAUGGUUUGACAUUCUCAAGACGUUUCUGGUUCUCUUAGCAGAGAAUGCCAAGACCACAUGUAUGCUGUAAUCUACAUAGUCCUUGUUUGUUAAUAUGAUCCAUUAGUGAACUCUCAGAACAAAAUUCAUUCCUAUUUUAUCCGCUAUUCCCAGAGAAACCCUGGAAGUGGCAAGCAAGCUAGCUGCUGUUUUAUUUCCUCACUGUUCUUAUCCUGAUCCUGAAAGGAAAACAAAACAAAACAAACAAAAAAAAAAAAACCUUUGUUCUCAUCCAGUUUUAGACUGGAUUAUCGUUAUGCUUCCAUUUAAUUUCCAAAUAUUUUGCUCCAACUUAAAUGAGGUAACUUUUUCUUUUGAGUGCCAAGGUUUGCUAGAUAACUGGCUACACAACACUGAGGACAAGCUAUUCCCAUGUAAACAGUCAUAAGCGAAAAUGAGGUAGCGUUGGUGGCGGGCCACGUUAGACUGUACACUCAGCCCUUGUUGCUCAUACAGACCCUCUCAGAAGCUGAUUAAUUAGAACAGAGGUCUAAUUCCCCACUCCUGGUCAUGCACACAGCUCCCUGCCCUAUCUCACAUUUAUACCACUUUGCUCUAGGAGACCGUUCUGGCACACUCACCAUAGGGGUUUCAGUUCGUGGAGGUGUUCUGAUCUUAAUAAUGUUUUAGAUACAUCUAUCCCAUACACAAGCUAUGUGAUAGAAUGUAACAAAUUACCAGUGAGAAGGGAUUUAUUAAGCUCUAGAUAUUUUGAAUGAGAGAAAAACUAAGGAACUAUAUUUGGGGGAGGGUUGUUUUGUUUUUUUGUUUUUUGCCAAACUGGCACAAGCUAGAACAUGUGCAAAAGGCUGAAUAAGCUCCCUGUUCUUUUUGCCACUGGAUGAUGGAAGAAUGAGCUUGUCUAGGUAUAUAUUUUCUUGACUUUCACCAGUUUCAGAAGGAGUCUAAUUUAAACAUUUGGGGUUUGUUUGAUCUGUAUUUAUUGCAUCCUGGCCAUAGGCCGGGGGCCUGCAUGUUAUGUUUAUGAACAGCUAGAACACAGCCAUGUGGAACUUAAUGGCUCAAGAUCUUCUAAAUAAUUUAACUUAUUUUGUAUGUUGC
rnacentral:lncRNA from 1 species